rnacentral:misc_RNA from 1 species
AAGUCGUAACAAGGUUUCCGUAGGUGAACCUGCGGAAGGAUCAUUAACAUCUCUUUGAUUGUGGUGGGUUGGAGUGUUUUCAUUAGCACUUCAUACCACCCUCAACCCCAUUGUGUGCAUGUUUGUGUGGUAGUGAGGCUUUGCUUUACUUCACACUAUUUUCACUUCUUUCACACCAAAACCCCUUCUUCUCAUCACUACUAGACUGACUUUACACCUCGUUUUACUCAGCUACUGAGCAAAACAUCAAUCAGCAUACAACUCUUAGCAACGGAUAUCUAGGCUCUC